GACGAACGCUGGCGGCGGGCUUAACACAUGCAAGUCGAACGGAAAGGCCCUGCUUUUGUGGGGUGCUCGAGUGGCGAACGGGUGAGUAACACGUGAGUAACCUGCCCUUGACUUUGGGAUAACUUCAGACAACUGGGGCUAAUACCGGCUAGGAGCUCCUGCUGCAUGGUGGGGGUUGGAAAGUUUCGGCGGAUGGGGAUGGACUCGCGGGUUAUCAGCUUGUUGGUGGGGGAGUGGCCUAGCAAGGCAUUGACGGAUAGCCGGCCUGGGAGGGUGGCCGGCCACAUUGGGACUGAGGGACGGCCCAGACGCCUACGGGAGGCAGCAGGGGGGAAUAUUGCACAAUGGGGGGGAGCCUGAUGCAGCAACGCUGCGUGCGGGAUGACGGCCUUGGGGGUGUAAACCGCUUUCGCCUGUGACGAAGCGUGAGUGACGGUAAUGGGUAAAGAAGCACCGGCUAACUACGUG
rnacentral:rRNA from 1 species